rnacentral:rRNA from 1 species
UACGGAGGGUGCGAGCGUUAAUCGGAAUUACUGGGCGUAAAGCGUGCGCAGGCGGCGCGUUAAGACAGGUGUGAAAGCCCCGAGCUUAACUUGGGAAUUGCGCUUGUGACUGGCGUGCUGGAGUGUGGCAGAGGGAGGUGGAAUUCCACGUGUAGCAGUGAAAUGCGUAGAGAUGUGGAGGAACACCGAUGGCGAAGGCAGCCUCCUGGGCCAGCACUGACGCUCAUGCACGGAAAGCGUGGGGAGCAAACAGG